GAAGGUUUUUUACAAGAUCCUUGAAUAAGCUGAUCAACAGAGACGCCUCCGCAGGCAGAGGGCGGAUCACCUUAGUGAGAAACAGGCCCAUCCUCCUCCAGCUCCGUGUCAGGACCAUCUUUAAACUGUCAAAAACCUGGCGCACAGUCUGCCCCAGUGCUCCUGGUGUCCUCCGAGCUGCAAUGGUUGAGAAAACAGUCAAAAAGGAUCUUGGAAAUCAUCUCCAUCCACCUGUGGCUUGAUCUGAGCAUACUCCUGCAGGAGAAUGAUAGUGGAUUGGGACUGUUUGCUGAUUGGCUGCAUCUCCUCCUCAGUGUUCUGGGUGGAUGCAACAUCAACAGUGUCCUCAGACAGCUUCUCCACCUCCUCCACUGUGACUGAGGUCUUCAAAUGAGGAGUGAGAGUGAGGUCAGUCUGGUUGCUGAUUGGCUGCAUCUCCUCCUCAGUGAUCUGGAUGGAUGCAACAUGAACAGUGUCCUCAGAUUGCUUCUCCUCCUCUGUGACUGAGGUCUUUACAUGAGGAGUGAGAGUGAGGUCAGUCUGGCUGCUGAUUGGCUGCGUCUCCCCCUCAGUGUUCUGGGUGGAUGAAACAGUAACUUCCACCUAUCAGCAGAAUUACACAACAAACUAAUUAACAGAUUUCCACAAUGUGACUUUGGCCAUGGAAGAAUAUGUUAACUUUGCUUUAGAUCUGGAUCAGGAUUUAACCCUAACCUUUAUACUGAACAGUGUUUCGAAUAGUCAGUUCCCCUCUUUCAUGUCAAUUGCAGGAGACAAACAACUCAGACAAAAAACAAGAAUUACAACCUUAAAGAGGAUUUGAUUCAUCGCAGGGCUUCAGAAGUCGACUGUAUCAGUUAGUAUAUGAAUAACGUACGUUGAGCUUUAUAUCUUGUGUAUUGUAAUUCAUUCUCUGACUGUGGAUUCAUUAUACAAAGAUAAUAUAGUAGUUCAGGCUUGUAUAUAUCACAUUAUGAAUGUUUGCGUGCUCCUCUGAACCCAGCUCCCUGUUCUCCUCUGUGUUCUGCUGCUUGCCGUGUUGCCGUCUAUCUCUGAAGCCAGAUUUAUUCACUCCAUAUUUGCCGGCUGCCAAUCACAAUUUACAUAGGUCGUCCCAUGAAGAAACUAAUCCCGAUUAUAAUUAUUCCUAUAGACUAAUUAUGCACGUGGCAUUUGUUUAAUGGAGAUUUAUUUGGAGUAAUGAAAGUGUAGUCUUGUGGAACAUUGCAUUUCCUCUCGGUGUGGAGGAGCGGACCUGUGUCUCCUCCGCUGGCCUCUUCGAUAUAAUCAGCCAUCUCAGGCAAAACAAAGGGAGAGGCUGUGAGAUCCACCUUCAACCUGGCAGGAGAGAGAUGAUGGAAACCGCUGUAGGGCCCGAGCUUCUUUCUGACUUAUUCAUAUUGUGCAAGGAUUCUCACAUCCUCCGCUGCCUUUAUUUUAACUGUGCUAACCAACUGUGAUUUCUGCUGCUUCGUCUUUGUUUCGCCCGCUCCUGGGUUCGGCAGAGAUCUGUGCUACUUGGUAAUCAGGGCCGACACCACAGUGUGCUGAGCUUUGGUCAGGGCCACAGCAAAUCAAACACAGCCACAGGAGAUGUGUGAAGACACAGAGUUGGAUUAUCUACAAAGAAAAAGUAGAUGAGAGAGUAAUGCUUUCUAUGCUACCACAACAGGGACCAUCACAAGAAAAAAACCCUGCAUAAAAAUAUUAUAAUGUGAGACAUAUUUAAAAAAAAAAGCAUGGAAAGGCAAGUGAUGGAGAAUGAACGACGCACAACACAGAUGCAGGACGCACAUGCUGCUGCGGUUUCUAUAAAUGUUCUGGGCCAUUCAUUUGGGGAUUAAGCGGCCUAAUCUCAAAAUAUUCAGUAAUUCAUUCUCUCCAACCAGAUAAAUAAUAACACAGUGAUUGCUUUGCCAGUGGGAGCCGGGAGCAGCCCCCCAGUGUCGGGGUGAUCGUUUCGCCAGCGGUGCUCCAGCGGUUCCAGCAGCUCAGCGGUGGUUCAGUGACAGUUCACUACACAGACCAAUCUAACAAGAAGCACUGACUCGGCCGCACUGUGGCACGGAGCGUUUGAGGAUGCGUGUCGGUGACAAUCGAGACUUUAAUCUCAAGCACUGUGCAAGCACCCAAAACACGUCUUCUAUUUUAAGACUGGUUCAUUGUACUUUGUUACAUAUGAAGCUGUGCACGGUUAAAAAAUAAACAGUGGAGAAGGAAGUGUUUGCUGUAUUAAACAUAUGUUCAUUCAUAAUUAAUCUGUAAAUAGCUCCUUUAAUGCUGUGGCUGUUUAUAGCAG